rnacentral:rRNA from 1 species
CCCUUAGAUGUUCUGGGCUGCACGCGCGCUACACUGACGCACGCAACAGGUGCCUGCUCCGAGAGGACUGGGUAAUCAUUUGAGUGUGCGUCGUGCUGGGGAUAGAAUAUUGUAAUUAUUACUCUUCAACGAGGAAUUCCUAGUAAGCGCCAGUCAGCAGCUUGCGCUGAUUACGUCCCUGCCCUUUGUACACACCGCCCGUCGCUCCUACCGAUGGGUGAUCCGGUGAAUGAUUCGGACUUCAGCGGCUCCCCUGGGGUGCGCCGGAGAAAGUUUUGUGAACCUUAUCACUUGGAGGAAGGAGAAGUCGUAACA